GGCGAGAUGGCCGAGUUGGUUAUGGCGUCAGGUUAAGGUCACCUUAGCACUUAAUUCCUGGUGGAGCAAUCCGCGUGGGUUCGAGUCCCACUCUCGUCA